rnacentral:piRNA from 1 species
UGAAGAAAUGUGUCUGCGAUGAAGUC